ensembl:misc_RNA Y_RNA Y RNA
AGAUGGUCCAAGUGCAGUGGUGUUUACAAUUAAUGGAUCACAACGAGUUACAGAUUUUUUGGUUCCUUCUCCACUCUCUCUGCUUCACUUGACAACUCAAA